rnacentral:rRNA from 1 species
GAUGAACGCUGGCGGCGUGCUUAACACAUGCAAGUCGAACGGUGAAGGCGGAGCUUGCUCUGCUGGAUCAGUGGCGAACGGGUGAGUAACACGUGAGCAAUCUGCCCCUGACUCUGGGAUAAGCGCUGGAAACGGCGUCUAAUACUGGAUACGAGCUGCGAAGGCAUCUUCAGCAGCUGGAAAGAAUUUCGGUCAGGGAUGAGCUCGCGGCCUAGCAGCUUGUUGGUGAGGUAAUGGCUCACCAAGGCGUCGACGGGUAGCCGGCCUGAGAGGGUGACCGGCCACACUGGGACUGAGACACGGCCCAGACUCCUACGGGAGGCAGCAGUGGGGAAUAUUGCACAAUGGGCGGAAGCCUGAUGCAGCAACGCCGCGUGAGGGACGACGGCCUUCGGGUUGUAAACCUCUUUUAGCAGGGAAGAAGCGAAAGUGACGGUACCUGCAGAAAAAGCGCCGGCUAACUACGUG